UACGGAGGAUGCAAGCGUUAUCCGGAAUCAUUGGGCGUAAAGCGUCCGUAGGUGGCUGUUCAAGUCUGCGGUCAAAGCCCAAGGCUUAACCUUGUAAAGGCCGUGGAAACUGAAGAAGCUAGAGUGCGGUAGGGGUAGAGGGAAUUCCCAGUGUAGCGGUGAAAUGCGUAGAGAUUGGGAAGAACACCGGUGGCGAAAGCGCUCUACUGGGCCUGCACUGACACUGAGGGACGAAAGCUAGGGGAGCGAAUGGG
rnacentral:rRNA from 1 species